rnacentral:rRNA from 1 species
AGCGAACGCUGGCGGCAGGCUUAACACAUGCAAGUCGAGCGGGCAUAGCAAUAUGUCAGCGGCAGACGGGUGAGUAACGCGUGGGAACGUACCUUUUGGUUCGGAACAACACAGGGAAACUUGUGCUAAUACCGGAUAAGCCCUUACGGGGAAAGAUUUAUCGCCGAAAGAUCGGCCCGCGUCUGAUUAGCUAGUUGGUGAGGUAAUGGCUCACCAAGGCGACGAUCAGUAGCUGGUCUGAGAGGAUGAUCAGCCACAUUGGGACUGAGACACGGCCCAAACUCCUACGGGAGGCAGCAGUGGGGAAUAUUGGACAAUGGGCGCAAGCCUGAUCCAGCCAUGCCGCGUGAGUGAUGAAGGCCCUAGGGUUGUAAAGCUCUUUUGUGCGGGAAGAUAAUGACGGUACCGCAAGAAUAAGCCCCGGCUAACUUCGUAGCCAGCAGCCGCGGUAAU